rnacentral:rRNA from 1 species
AGCAGUAGCCGCGGUAAAACGAAGGGUGCAAGCGUUACUCGGAAUUACUGGGCGUAAAGCGUGCGUAGGUGGUGGUUUAAGUCCGUUGUGAAAGCCCUGGGCUCAACCUGGGAAUUGCAGUGGAUACUGGGUCACUAGAGUGUGGUAGAGGAUAGUGGAAUUUCCGGUGUAGCAGUGAAAUGCGUAGAGAUCGGAAGGAACAUCUGUGGCGAAGGCGACUAUCUGGGCCAACACUGACACUGAGGCACGAAAGCGUGGGGAGCAAACAGGAUUAGAUACCCGGUAGUCCCUGUCUCUUAUACA